GGUUAAGCGACUAAGCGUACACGGUGGAUGCCCUGGCAGUCAGAGGCGAUGAAGGACGUGCUAAUCUGCGAUAAGCGUCGGUAAGGUGAUAUGAACCGUUAUAACCGGCGAUUUCCGAAUGGGGAAACCCAGUGUGUUUCGACACACUAUCAUUAACUGAAUCCAUAGGUUAAUGAGGCGAACCGGGGGAACUGAAACAUCUAAGUACCCCGAGGAAAAGAAAUCAACCGAGAUUCCCCCAGUAGCGGCGAGCGAACGGGGAGCAGCCCAGAGCCUGAAUCAGUGUGUGUGUUAGUGGAAGCGUCUGGAAAGGCGCGCGAUACAGGGUGACAGCCCCGUACACAAAAAUGCACAUGCUGUGAGCUCGAUGAGUAGGGCGGGACACGUGGUAUCCUGUCUGAAUAUGGGGGGACCAUCCUCCAAGGCUAAAUACUCCUGACUGACCGAUAGUGAACCAGUACCGUGAGGGAAAGGCGAAAAGAACCCCGGCGAGGGGAGUGAAAAAGAACCUGAAACCGUGUACGUACAAGCAGUGGGAGCACGCUUAGGCGUGUGACUGCGUACCUUUUGUAUAAUGGGUCAGCGACUUAUAUUCUGUAGCAAGGUUAACCGAAUAGGGGAGCCGAAGGGAAACCGAGUCUUAACUGGGCGUUAAGUUGCAGGGUAUAGACCCGAAACCCGGUGAUCUAGCCAUGGGCAGGUUGAAGGUUGGGUAACACUAACUGGAGGACCGAACCGACUAAUGUUGAAAAAUUAGCGGAUGACUUGUGGCUGGGGGUGAAAGGCCAAUCAAACCGGGAGAUAGCUGGUUCUCCCCGAAAGCUAUUUAGGUAGCGCCUCGUGAAUUCAUCUCCGGGGGUAGAGCACUGUUUCGGCAAGGGGGUCAUCCCGACUUACCAACCCGAUGCAAACUGCGAAUACCGGAGAAUGUUAUCACGGGAGACACACGGCGGGUGCUAACGUCCGUCGUGAAGAGGGAAACAACCCAGACCGCCAGCUAAGGUCCCAAAGUCAUGGUUAAGUGGGAAACGAUGUGGGAAGGCCCAGACAGCCAGGAUGUUGGCUUAGAAGCAGCCAUCAUUUAAAGAAAGCGUAAUAGCUCACUGGUCGAGUCGGCCUGCGCGGAAGAUGUAACGGGGCUAAACCAUGCACCGAAGCUGCGGCAGCGACGCUUAUGCGUUGUUGGGUAGGGGAGCGUUCUGUAAGCCUGUGAAGGUGUGCUGUGAGGCAUGCUGGAGGUAUCAGAAGUGCGAAUGCUGACAUAAGUAACGAUAAAGCGGGUGAAAAGCCCGCUCGCCGGAAGACCAAGGGUUCCUGUCCAACGUUAAUCGGGGCAGGGUGAGUCGACCCCUAAGGCGAGGCCGAAAGGCGUAGUCGAUGGGAAACAGGUUAAUAUUCCUGUACUUGGUGUUACUGCGAAGGGGGGACGGAGAAGGCUAUGUUGACCGGGCGACGGUUGUCCCGGUUUAAGCGUGUAGGCUGGUUUUCCAGGCAAAUCCGGAAAAUCAAGGCUGAGGCGUGAUGACGAGGCACUACGGUGCUGAAGCAACAAAUGCCCUGCUUCCAGGAAAAGCCUCUAAGCAUCAGGUAACAUCAAAUCGUACCCCAAACCGACACAGGUGGUCAGGUAGAGAAUACCAAGGCGCUUGAGAGAACUCGGGUGAAGGAACUAGGCAAAAUGGUGCCGUAACUUCGGGAGAAGGCACGCUGAUAUGUAGGUGAGGUCCCUCGCGGAUGGAGCUGAAAUCAGUCGAAGAUACCAGCUGGCUGCAACUGUUUAUUAAAAACACAGCACUGUGCAAACACGAAAGUGGACGUAUACGGUGUGACGCCUGCCCGGUGCCGGAAGGUUAAUUGAUGGGGUCAGCGCAAGCGAAGCUCUUGAUCGAAGCCCCGGUAAACGGCGGCCGUAACUAUAACGGUCCUAAGGUAGCGAAAUUCCUUGUCGGGUAAGUUCCGACCUGCACGAAUGGCGUAAUGAUGGCCAGGCUGUCUCCACCCGAGACUCAGUGAAAUUGAACUCGCUGUGAAGAUGCAGUGUACCCGCGGCAAGACGGAAAGACCCCGUGAACCUUUACUAUAGCUUGACACUGAACAUUGAGCCUUGAUGUGUAGGAUAGGUGGGAGGCUUAGAAGUGUGGACGCCAGUCUGCAUGGAGCCGACCUUGAAAUACCACCCUUUAAUGUUUGAUGUUCUAACGUUGACCCGUAAUCCGGGUUGCGGACAGUGUCUGGUGGGUAGUUUGACUGGGGCGGUCUCCUCCUAAAGAGUAACGGAGGAGCACGAAGGUUGGCUAAUCCUGGUCGGACAUCAGGAGGUUAGUGCAAUGGCAUAAGCCAGCUUGACUGCGAGCGUGACGGCGCGAGCAGGUGCGAAAGCAGGUCAUAGUGAUCCGGUGGUUCUGAAUGGAAGGGCCAUCGCUCAACGGAUAAAAGGUACUCCGGGGAUAACAGGCUGAUACCGCCCAAGAGUUCAUAUCGACGGCGGUGUUUGGCACCUCGAUGUCGGCUCAUCACAUCCUGGGGCUGAAGUAGGUCCCAAGGGUAUGGCUGUUCGCCAUUUAAAGUGGUACGCGAGCUGGGUUUAGAACGUCGUGAGACAGUUCGGUCCCUAUCUGCCGUGGGCGCUGGAGAACUGAGGGGGGCUGCUCCUAGUACGAGAGGACCGGAGUGGACGCAUCACUGGUGUUCGGGUUGUCAUGCCAAUGGCACUGCCCGGUAGCUAAAUGCGGAAGAGAUAAGUGCUGAAAGCAUCUAAGCACGAAACUUGCCCCGAGAUGAGUUCUCCCUGACUCCUUGAGAGUCCUGAAGGAACGUUGAAGACGACGACGUUGAUAGGCCGGGUGUGUAAGCGCAGCGAUGCGUUGAGCUAACCGGUACUAAUGAACCGUGAGGCUUAACCUU
rnacentral:rRNA from 1 species